UACAGAGGUGGCAAGCGUUGUUCGGAAUUACUGGGCGUAAAGGGCGAGUAGGCGGCCAUCUAAGUCAGACGUGAAAUCCCCCGGCUUAACCUGGGAACUGCGUCUGAUACUGGACGGCUUGAGUAUGGGAGAGGAACGUAGAAUUCCAGGUGUAGCGGUGAAAUGCGUAGAUAUCGGGAGGAACACCAGUGGCGAAGGCGACUACCUGGCCUGUUCUUGACGCUGAGACGCGAAAGCGUGGGGAGCAAACAGG
rnacentral:rRNA from 1 species